rnacentral:rRNA from 1 species
UCCUUCGGGAGGCCGCCGUAGGGGAUUUUUCGCCAAGGCCGCAAGUCUGACGGAGCCACACCGCCUGAGUGAAGAAGGCCUCCGGGUCGUAAAACUCUGUUGUCCGGAAGAACAAAUACUUGUUAAUAAGCGGCACCUGACGUNCCGCCAAGCAGUCGAGG